rnacentral:rRNA from 1 species
UACGAAGGGGGCUAGCGUUGUUCGGAAUUACUGGGCGUAAAGCGCACGUAGGCGGAUAUUUAAGUCAGGGGUGAAAUCCCAGAGCUCAACUCUGGAACUGCCUCUGAUACUGGGUAUCUUGAGUAUGGAAGAGGUGAGUGGAAUUGCGAGUGUAGAGGUGAAAUUCGUAGAUAUUCGCAGGAACACCAGUGGCGAAGGCGGCUCACUGGUCCAUAACUGACGCUGAGGUGCGAAAGCGUGGGGAGCAAAC